rnacentral:rRNA from 1 species
UACGAAGGGGGCUAGCGUUGUUCGGAUUUACUGGGCGUAAAGCGCGUGUAGGCGGACUUGUAAGUUGGGGGUGAAAUCCCGAGGCUCAACCUCGGAACUGCCUCCAAAAUUACAAGUCUGGAGCAAGAUAGAGGCAAGUGGAAUUGCGAGUGUAGAGGUGAAAUUCGUAGAUAUUCGCAGGAACACCAGUGGCGAAGGCGACUUGCUGGAUCUUUGCUGACGCUGAGACGCGAAAGCGUGGGGAGCAAACAGG